GGGCGUUUCGCUCAGCUGGGAGAGCAUCUGACUGACAAGCAGAGGGUCAGCGGUUCGAUACCGUUAACUCCCA
rnacentral:tRNA from 1 species